rnacentral:rRNA from 1 species
AGAGCGAACGCUGGCGGCAGGCUUAACACAUGCAAGUCGAGCGGGCGUAGCAAUACGUCAGCGGCAGACGGGUGAGUAACGCGUGGGAACAUACCUUUUGGUUCGGAACAACACAGGGAAACUUGUGCUAAUACCGGAUAAGCCCUUACGGGGAAAGAUUUAUCGCCGAAAGAUUGGCCCGCGUCUGAUUAGCUAGUUGGUGAGGUAACGGCUCACCAAGGCGACGAUCAGUAGCUGGUCUGAGAGGAUGAUCAGCCACAUUGGGACUGAGACACGGCCCAAACUCCUACGGGAGGCAGCAGUGGGAAUAUUGGACAAUGGGCGCAAGCCUGAUCCAGCCAUGCCGCGUGAGUGAUGAAGGCCCUAGGGUUGUAAAGCUCUUUUGUGCGGGAAGAUAAUGACGGUACCGCGAAGAAUAACGCCCCGGACUAACUUCGUGCCAGCAGCCGC